GAUGAACGCUAGCGGCAGGCCUAAUACAUGCAAGUCGAGCGGCAAGUCGAGGAGUAAUCUGAGACCUAGAGCGGCGCACGGGUGCGUAACGCGUAUGUAACCUACCCUAUACAGGGGGAUAGCCCGGAGAAAUCUGGAUUAAUACCCCAUGGCACUGCGAAUCAGCAUUGGAUUGCAGUUAAAGAUUUAUCGGUAUAGGAUGGACAUGCGUCUGAUUAGCUAGUUGGCGGUGUAACGGACCACCAAGGCGACGAUCAGUAGGGGUUCUGAGAGGAAGGUCCCCCA
rnacentral:rRNA from 1 species